rnacentral:rRNA from 1 species
UACGUAGGGGGCUAGCGUUGUCCGGAUUUAUUGGGCGUAAAGAGCGUGUAGGCGGCCAGGUAGGUCUGGUGUGAAAACUCGAGGCUUAACCUCGAGAUGUCAUCGGAAACCAUCUGGCUAGAGUCCGGAAGAGGAGAGUGGAAUUCCUGGUGUAGCGGUGAAAUGCGCAGAUAUCAGGAAGAACACCAAUGGCGAAAGCAGCUCUCUGGGACGGUACUGACGCUGAGGAGCGAAAGCGUGGGUAGCGAACAGG